GUUCUACACAGGCUACUCAGCAGGGAUCACGCAAAAGGAAACCGAGUGAUCCACUUUUCACAAUUCCAAAACCCACCAUGAGGAUCAGACGGAAAACGCCACCAUCUACAUCGCUCUCUCCAAUAGUUGAAGAAGGUAAUGCGGCACGAAACUUGAACUUUUGGAAUGGCAGACGUUUGCUUCCUAUGAGAAGAGGACCUCCACCUAUUACUAAUUUA